rnacentral:rRNA from 1 species
AGGUACGAUCAUACCAACACUAAUGCACUGGAUUCCAUCAUAAUUUCGCAGUAUAAUUUAGUGUGCUUGGACGAAUGUAGUACUAGGAUGAGUUAUCUCCUUAGAAUUAAUCGUGUUACUCU